CAUAGACAUUCUUGAUUAGAUGGAAGAUAACCUUAGUAAAGAUGGCUUUAGCAGCUGGACAGAACAGGAGCAUUCUCUUUCCGAAGGUGGAGUUUGAGAUGAUGAAACUGAAGUUCACAGAGUGAAAUUUGGCCAGUAUCACACAGCUAAGAAAAUAUUGAAGGUCUCAGUUCAAGAUUUCCUCGAAUCUGCACAAUGUUAGACCUCCUUCAAUAGAUACAAGAGCAACAGAGAGACACGAUGAAAAAUCAAUCACUCAAUCAGUCAACAAGUAAGUACUGGCCAUAGAAAAAAAAUUCUCCAGUCCCUGCCCUCUGUUGGAAAAGAUAACAUGUAUACAUGAAAAUAUGUGCGCAAAAUAUACAGAAUAAGUAUAAGGUGAUUUCGAGGGGAAAGCACUAACAA